AUUUGAGAUGCCAUUUCACCCUGCUGUGUGGGACUGAGAUGGACUGCUGUCUUCAUGCACACAAACAGUACAGCAGGGUGUGGGACAGUGUUGCAAAGGUGACCAGAGAGAGAAAUGUUCAGCAGUUUCUCCAAGAAUCAGCAUCUUUCAGCAAAAUCCCUGAAUUUACCUUCCAGCCUGCUCUGCGUGACAAGGCUCUACAGAUGUUAGCGAGCCGACUGAAGCUCCUAUCCGGGGAGACGGCGCUCAGUGUGG
rnacentral:lncRNA from 1 species